rnacentral:pre_miRNA from 1 species
GCUUAUGGAUGAGCAAGGAAAGUAGUUUUUUGAAAUGGAAUCUACUCCUGGUGAAGAUGCUUAGGA